rnacentral:rRNA from 1 species
CGGGCGUUAAGUUGCAGGGUAUAGACCCGAAACCCGGUGAUCUAGCCAUGGGCAGGUUGAAGGUUGGGUAACACUAACUGGAGGACCGAACCGACUAAUGUUGAAAAAUUAGCGGAUGACCUGUGGCUGGGGGUGAAAGGCCAAUCAAACCGGGAGAUAGCUGGUUCUCCCCGAAAGCUAUUUAGGUAGCGCCUCGUGAAUUCAUCUCCGGGGGUAGAGCACUGUUUCGGCUAGGGGGCCAUCCCGGCUUACCAACCCGAUGCAAACUGCGAAUACCGGAGAAUGUUAUCACGGGAGACACACGGCGGGUGCUAACGUCCGUCGUGAAGAGGGAAACAACCCAGACCGCCAGCUAAGGUCCCAAAGUCAUGGUUAAGUGGGAAACGAUGUGGGAAGGCCCAGACAGCCAGGAUGUUGGCUUAGAAGCAGCCAUCAUUUAAAGAAAGCGUAAUAGCUCACUGGUCGAGUCGGCCUGCGCGGAAGAUGUAACGGGGCUAAACCAUGCACCGAAGCUGCGGCAGCGACACUGUGUGUUGUUGGGUAGGGGAGCGUUCUGUAAGCCUGUGAAGGUGUGUCGUGAGGCAUGCUGGAGGUAUCAGAAGUGCGAAUGCUGACAUAAGUAACGAUAAAGCGGGUGAAAAGCCCGCUCGCCGGAAGACCAAGGGUUCCUGUCCAACGUUAAUCGGGGCAGGGUGAGUCGACCCCUAAGGCGAGGCCGAAAGGCGUAGUCGAUGGGAAACGGGUUAAUAUUCCCGUACUUGGUGUUACUGCGAAGGGGGGACGGAGAAGGCUAUGUUGGCCGGGCGACGGUUGUCCCGGUUUAAGCGUGUAGGUGUGUGUUCCAGGUAAAUCCGGUUCACUUUAACACUGAGGCGUGACGACGAGGCACUACGGUGCUGAAGCAACAAAUGCCCUGCUUCCAGGAAAAGCCUCUAAGCAUCAGGUAACAUCAAAUCGUACCCCAAACCGACACAGGUGGUCAGGUAGAGAAUACCAAGGCGCUUGAGAGAACUCGGGUGAAGGAACUAGGCAAAAUGGUGCCGUAACUUCGGGAGAAGGCACGCUGACACGUAGGUGAAGUGAUUUACUCAUGGAGCUGAA